GCCUACGGGACGCAGCAGUAGGGAAUCUUCCACAAUGGACGAAAGUCUGAUGGAGCAACGCCGCGUGAGUGAAGAAGGGUUUCGGCUCGUAAAACUCUGUUGGUAGUGAAGAAAGAUAGAGGGAGUAACUGGCCUUUAUUUGACGGUAAUUACUUAGAAAGUCACGGCUAACUACGUGCCAGCAGCCGCGGUAAUACGUAGGUGGCAAGCGUUGUCCGGAUUUAUUGGGCGUAAAGGGAAUGCAGGCGGUCUUAUAAGU
rnacentral:rRNA from 1 species